rnacentral:rRNA from 1 species
GUAGGUGGCAAGCGUUGUCCGGAAUUAUUGGGCGUAAAGCGCGCGCAGGCGGUUCUUUAAGUCUGAUGUGAAAGCCCACGGCUCAACCGUGGAGGGUCAUUGGAAACUGGAGAACUUGAGUACAGAAGAGGAAAGCGGAAUUCCACGUGUAGCGGUGAAAUGCGUAGAGAUGUGGAGGAACACCAGUGGCGAAGGCGGCUUUCUGGUCUGUAGCUGACGCUGAGGCGCGAAAGCGUGGGGAGCAAACAGGAUUAGAUACCCUGGUAGUCCACGCCGUAAACGAUGAGUGCUAAGUGUUAGGGGGUUUCCGCCCCCCUUAGUGCUGCAGCUAACGCAUUAAGCACUCCGCCUGGGAGUACGGCCGCAAGGCUG